rnacentral:rRNA from 1 species
AUGAGCAUUGGUCUUAAUUUCAGCAAGUCAUCCUCCACUCUUGUUAGUGCAUUCUCUGACUCAGAUUGGGCAGGAUGUUUGGAUGAUAGACGGUCUAGUGGUGGCUUUGCAGUAUUUCUUGGACCUAACCUGAUUUCUUGGUGUGCCAGAAAGCAAGCCACUGUUUUCAGAUCCAGUACAGAGACAGAGUACAAGGCACUGGCCAAUGCUACAGCAGAAAUUAUAUGGGUUCAAUCCAUUCUUAAGGAGCUCGGUGUGAAAACUGCUCAGGCUCCAUGUCUGUGGUGUGAUAACUUGGGUGCAAGCUAUCUUUCAGCAAAUCCCGUUUUUCAUGCAAGAACAAAGCAUAUUGAGAUAGAUUUUCACUUUGUGAGAGAGAGAGAGUUGCUAAUAAACUCCUAG